CACGUAGGCACCAAGCGUUGUCCGGAUUUAUUGGGCGUAAAGGAGCUCGUAGGCGGUUCGGUAAGUCGGAUGGUGAAAACUUUGGGCUCAACCCAAACGCGUGCACUCGAUACUGCCGUGACUGGAGUUCGGUAGGGGAGCGGGGAAUUCCUAGUGUAGCGGUGAAAUGCGCAGAUAUUAGGAGGAACACCGGUGGCGAAGGCGCCGCUCUGGGCCGAUACUGACGCUGAGGAGCGAAAGCGUGGGUAGCAAA
rnacentral:rRNA from 1 species